GAUGAACGCUGGCGGCGUGCUUAACACAUGCAAGUCGAACGAAGCAUUUGCGACAGAUUUUUUCGGAAUGAAGUUGCUUAUGACUGAGUGGCGGACGGGUGAGUAACGCGUGGGUAACCUGCCUUGUACUGGGGGAUAGCAGCUGGAAACGGCUGGUAAUACCGCAUAAGCGCACAAUGUUGCAUGACAUGGUGUGAAAAACUCCGGUGGUAUAAGAUGGACCCGCGUCUGAUUAGCUAGUUGGUGAGAUAACAGCCCACCAAGGCGACGAUCAGUAGCCGACCUGAGAGGGUGACCGGCCACAUUGGGACUGGGACACGGCCCAGACUCCUACGGGAGGCAGCAGUGGGGAAUAUUGCACAAUGGAGGAAACUCUGAUGCAGCGACGCCGCGUGAGUGAAGAAGUAAUUAGUUAUGUAAAGCUCUAUCAGCAGGGAAGAUAGUGACGGUACCUGACUAAGAAGCUCCGGCUAAAUACGUG
rnacentral:rRNA from 1 species